rnacentral:tRNA from 1 species
CCGACCUUAGCUCAGUUGGUAGAGCGGAGGACUGUAGAUCCUUAGGUCACUGGUCGAAUCCGGUAGGUCGGA